CUUUUAUCUUUUGAAGACAUUUCUUCAUAUUUUUCUCUUGGAUCUUGUAUCCACUAUUGAUAUGCCCAACAACUACUUGGGAGUCGCUGAAGAUUUUUAGAUGUUGAGCUCCUACCUCUCCUGCAACCCUGAGGUCAGCAAUCAGAGCUUCAUAUUCUACCUCAUUGUUAGUAGCUGGAAACUCAAAGCACAGAGAUAUCCUGUCAUAUCUCCUUCA
rnacentral:lncRNA from 1 species